GCGGGCGUGGCGGAACUGGCAGACGCGCUGGACUUAGGAUCCAGUGGGAAAAACUCCCUUGGAGGUUCAAAUCCUCUCGCCCGCACCA
rnacentral:tRNA from 1 species